CGGACGGGUGAGUAACACGUGGAUAACCUACUUAUAAGACUGGGAUAACUUCGGGAAACCGGAGCUAAUACCGGAUAAUAUUUUGAACCGCAUGGUUCAAAAGUGAAAGACGGUCUUGCUGUCACUUAUAGAUGGGUCCGCGCUGCAUUAGCUAGUUGGUAAGGUAACGGCUUACCAAGGCAACGAUGCAUAGCCGACCUGAGAGGGUGAUCGGCCACACUGGAACUGAGACACGGUCCAG
rnacentral:rRNA from 1 species